CUUAAUGUUCCAGGCCUUUGUCUGCUAAACGUAGAGGUGACAUGACUGAACCUUGUAUGCUAAUUUCUGCUGUGGCUUUACUAACCCCUGUUUCUACCAACCAGUCAAAGGACUGUGUGUGAGAGAGCAGAGUUGGAAUCAGCAAAGAGAGCCGAGGAGAAGCUACUGAUGAAAGUACAACUCAGUUAUGACAGAAGACUCCAGUACAUUGGAGCUGCCAGUACCAUGGGAUGACCACCAAGAACAGCAGCAGCAUGGAGUGAAGCCAGCUGGAGCCUAGAAAACAAGAUGUGUGUGCUCCAGAGGGCAGAGCCAGAGAAGUGACCCGAGCCCCUUGAAGGAGCACAGAUCAUGAAUCAUGACCCACUAGGUCUUCGGUUCUCUGAAUAUGCUGGGAACAU
rnacentral:lncRNA from 1 species